CUCUGGAUGAGAACAUAGCCCAACAGAUACCUUGACUUCUCAGAUGGGUGGGACCAUGACCAGAAGACCUUCAUCAAUGUAGAGACAAACUUUCUGACCUACAGAAAAUCUUUGCCCUGUUUCUACUUCAUGUACCCAUGAAAAGAAAAUGAAUAACAAGAAUGACAUUUAUGUCACCCAGGACAAUGGAAAGAAGGGAUGUUCCUGCUGUUUGUGGCUGCAUGGUUGGCCGAGAAUACUACUCAUGUUGGCCCUAGAAGUACUCCCUCUAUUUCCAUCUCCAUGUCCUCUCUUCAGGGCUUAUCAACUUCAGUUGCUUCAGAAAACAAAGUGAGGUAUCUUCUAGAAACCUCUUCUCAGAUAUGACAUUUAAAGAGUUGAGUUGCUGUUAUUUGUUUGAUAAAAUCAUAUGCAAAGAAUUUAACCUCUUUGUGGGGUAGAGAUACUCACUGUUUCCUUCCCAAGUGAAGGACAAUGCCAUUUUUUUUAUAUAUAUCAGGAGAACUAGAUUAUACUUACUUUAUGUUGCUGGAAUAAGUACUGAUAUGCACACACACUCACAUCCAUACACAUGUAUACAAGCCUUCCUAAAACUGUAUUAUAAAUGUCUUCUUCAAUACUCUUCAGAGGUACCAUGAGAUUUAAUAAAUGUUAAAUUGUAACCUAAAUACUAGUCAUGAAUCUAUUCACCUCCAUUAUUUCUAAAGAACCAAAUUUAAUAUUAGCUAGACCACCUUAAUGUAGAAACGCGUGACCAACAGGUCAGUUUUACAAUUACUCAGGCUUCUCUGACUCCCUCAUAUUUAAAUCAAUAAACUUAACGUUAUUAAGGACUCUGCAAAUCCUUAUUUGCUUUUCAUCACUUUCUUCCCUUGGAUUCAUUUAGUGCAAAUAA